rnacentral:rRNA from 1 species
UACGUAGGGCGCAAGCGUUGUCCGGAAUUAUUGGGCGUAAAGAGCUCGUAGGUGGCUUGUUGCGUCUGCCGUGAAAGCCCGUGGCUUAACUACGGGUCUGCGGUGGAUACGGGCAGGCUAGAGGCUGGUAGGGGCAAGCGGAAUUCCUGGUGUAGCGGUGAAAUGCGCAAAUAUCAGGAGGAACACCGGUGGCGAAGGCGGCUCUCUGGACCAGCACUGACACUGAGGCACGAAAGCGUGGGGAGCAAACAGG